CUUCACCGACCCCAGCCACAAAGGCCGGUCCGCGUCCCGCCCCUUGCCGUACGUCGCCAGCAGCGCCUGCGCCUC
rfam:Streptomyces oceani strain SCSIO 02100 scaffold3, whole genome shotgun sequence.